UCGACCAAAAGACUUCUGAUCAUGGAAUGGGCCUGUAACCUCAGCAUUCUGGGAGGCUGAGGCAGGAGGAU
rnacentral:miRNA from 1 species